rnacentral:lncRNA from 9 species
GUCUUAUUAAGCGUGCUAUAUUUAAAGAUGCAUCUUAUUUAAUCAGGCAUAAGUGCUUGCUGUUAAAGAGCAGGUGCUCUGCCUCAAAUGUGGGAACAAAGACUAUUAUGGUCCAUUAGUGGCACGAUGAUUAUAGAGUUAUCCCCUUGGAAGUAGAAAAGAAUGUCACUUUCUGUGGGUGAAUUUUGUGGACUUUGAGAAAUGAGAUAUACCCCUACUUUAUUAUUAUUGCAGACAAAAUCUUAAAGGCACACGUUUCCUGGUUUUGUUUCCUAUCUUCAGAUUUUGAUGCAUUCAUAAGGACUUGUAUAGAACUACCAUAUGAUCCUGCAAUCUCACUCCUGGGCAUCUAUCUGGAGAAAAACAUAACUUGAAAAGAUACAAGCACCCUGAUCUUCACUGCAGCCCUGUUUACAACAGCCAAGACACGGAAGCAACCUAAAUGUCCAUUGGCAGAUGAACUGAUAAAGCAGAUGAGGUCUAUAUGUACAAUGGUAUAUUACUCAUCCAUAAAAAGAAUGAAAUAAUGCCAUUUGCAGCAACGUGGAUGGACCUAGAGGUUAUUAUACUAAGCGAUGUGAUGUGAGCAUAUUGGUGAACGCAGGACCUGUAAUGAUAAAAUGGAAAAGAAAAUAUUCUCCCAGUGUUCUAACGGCCUUGGGAACUCGAUGAAACCGCAAAAAUGUGUUCCAUGAAGUUCCAUUAGGUGUGUGCCAAGAAGCCCUCAAAGAAGAAGGAAGCCCCCAUAUCUUUUGCUGUGACACUGGGACAUUUCUCUAAGUGAACAAACACAAUGUACCUAAUGGUGGGAUUUUGACUUUUAAUCAUCACCAGCGAGAAUAACAUUGCCUUCUUUCAAAAUUCUAGAAAAGUUAUAUUACGUUUGGUCAUUUAUUGGCCCCAAGAUGGAAAGCAACUUUGGUGAGGAAUUAUGUGUCCUGAAUUCUAACUUUGGCUCAGAAAAGACUGCAUGACUUCAGGCAAACAUGGAACUCCUGGAGGACUCAGUUCACACAGAGAAUAAAUAAGGCCAGGAGGAUUCGACACUUUGAAGGG